rnacentral:sRNA from 1 species
CAAAAAUGUGAACAUGUGGAACAAAAACGUCCCAAAUGGCAACAGCCGUUCAGACCAGCAAGCACAGGUACAUCAGCUGCUAACGCCUGCAAGUGCCAUCUCAAACAAAGAGGCAAGCAGUGGCUCUGGCUGGGGUGAGCCCUGGGGGGAGCCUUCUACUCCAGCCACAACUGUGGAUAAUGGUACUUCAGCAUGGGGUAAGCCCAUAGACAGUGGUCCCAGCUGGGGGGAACCCAUUGCUGCGGCAUCCAGCACAUCCACGUGGGGCUCCAGCUCUGUUGGUCCACAAGCAUUAAGCAAAUCUGGGCCAAAAUCUAUGCAAGAUGGCUGGUGUGGUGAUGAUAUGCCAUUGCCUGGAAAUCGCCCCACUGGCUGGGAAGAGGAAGAGGAUGUGGAGAUUGGAAUGUGGAAUAGUAAUUCAUCUCAAGAGCUUAACUCAUCUUUAAAUUGGCCACCAUAUUCAAAGAAAAUGUCAUCGAAGGGUCUGAGUGGCAAAAAAAGGAGAAGGGAAAGGGUGUGUAGCCUUUUUACUCUUUCUCCUUUGUUUCUACUAGUAAAAAUCUUUAGAAAGCAACUGCAAACAUUUAUUUAGCCUCUGCUGUGUGCCAGGUACUGUGCUUGGUGCUGGGGAUUCAAAUACAAUAAGAUAAGAGUUUCACCUUUCGGGAGCUCACAGUCUAGUAUGGGGCAUUAGGAGAGCUUCAUAGAAGUGUCAGCUUGAAUUUGGAAGAUGCUUGGGAUGGGAUGUGUUAAGGAAGAUAGUAGCCCAACAUAACCAAAAUGUAGAAUUUUUAGGAAGAAGUGACAAGAGAUCUGGCUCUGUAGUUAAGGCAGAUUGUAGUGUCUUCAAUAGCAUGCCAAGGAAUUUGAACUUUAUUUUGUGUAAAAUAUGGAACCAACAAAAUUGAGUGGAAAACAACAUCAGUGGGGUUUUUAAAUUACU